rnacentral:piRNA from 1 species
UACUCUAUGAUUCAGGCAAGGAUGCUGA